AUGGAUGAUUCCCAUAACACCCAAUAUUGCAACCUCCAAGAGAGUGCUCAGUCCCAACAGGAAUCAGAUAAUGACCAGGCUACCAUGGACACAUCAGAGGAGGAGGAAGAUACCACCACCUCAAAUAAGGUCUAUGGUAGUGGAAUACCAAAUCCUCCCCAGAGUCCUCAGAGUGCCUCUUCUCCCUGUGUGAUGAUGGCUUCCAUCCCUGAUAGUCCGUCUGAGGAAGCUUCCAUCAAAUGA
rnacentral:lncRNA from 1 species